rnacentral:rRNA from 1 species
GACGAACGCUGGCGGCGUGCUUAACACAUGCAAGUCGAACGGAAAGGCCCUGCUUUUGUGGGGUGCUCGAGUGGCGAACGGGUGAGUAACACGUGAGUAACCUGCCCUUGACUUUGGGAUAACUUCAGGAAACUGGGGCUAAUACCGGAUAGGAGCUCCUGCUGCAUGGUGGGGGUUGGAAAGUUUCGGCGGUUGGGGAUGGACUCGCGGCUUAUCAGCUUGUUGGUGGGGUAGUGGCUUACCAAGGCUUUGACGGGUAGCCGGCCUGAGAGGGUGACCGGCCACAUUGGGACUGAGAUACGGCCCAGACGCCUACGGGAGGCAGCAGUGGGGAAUAUUGCACAAUGGGCGGAAGCCGGAUGCAGCAACGCCGCGUGCGGGAUGACGGCCUUCGGGUUGGAAACCGCUUUCGCCUGUGACGAAGCGUGAGGGACGGGAAUGGGUAAAGAAGCACCGGCGAACUACGU